GACGAACGCUGGCGGCGUGCCUAACACAUGCAAGUCGAACGCUGAAGCUCAGCUUUUGUUGGGUGGAUGAGUGGCGAACGGGUGAGUAACACGUGAGUAACCUGCCUCCUUCUUUGGGAUAACGCCCGGAAACGGGUGCUAAUACUGGAUAUUCACUGGUCUUCGCAUGGGGGUUGGUGGAAAGGGUUUUUCUGGUGGGGGAUGGGCUCGCGGCCUAUCAGCUUGUUGGUGGGGUGAUGGCCUACCAAGGCUUUGACGGGUAGCCGGCCUGAGAGGGUGACCGGUCACAUUGGGACUGAGAUACGGCCCAGACUCCUACGGGAGGCAGCAGUGGGGAAUAUUGCACAAUGGGCGCAAGCCUGAUGCAGCGACGCCGCGUGAGGGAUGGAGGCCUUCGGGUUGUGAACCUCUUUCGCUCAUGGUCAAGCCGCAACAAUGGUUGUGGUGAGGGUAGUGGGUAAAGAAGCGCCGGCUAACUACGAG
rnacentral:rRNA from 1 species